rnacentral:rRNA from 1 species
ACGCUAUCACUCCUACGGGAGGCAGCAGUGGGGAAUUUUGGACAAUGGGCGCAAGCCUGAUCCAGCAAUGCCGCGUGCAGGAAGAAGGCCUUCGGGUUGUAAACUGCUUUUGUCAGGGAAGAAAUCUUCUGGGUUAAUACCUCGGGAGGAUGACGGUACCUGAAGAAUAAGCACCGGCUAACUACGUGCCAGCAGCCGCGGUAAUACGUAGGGUGCGAGCGUUAAUCGGAAUUACUGGGCGUAAAGCGUGCGCAGGCGGCUUUGCAAGACAGAUGUGAAAUCCCCGGGCUCAACCUGGGAACUGCAUUUGUGACUGCAAGGCUAGAGUUACGGCAGAGGGGAUGGAAUUCCGCGUGUAGCAGUGAAAUGCGUAGAUAUGCGGAGGAACACCGAUGGCGAAGGCAAUCCCCUGGGCCUGUACUGACGCUCAUGCACGAAAGCGUGGGGAGCAAACAGGAUUAGAUACCCUGGUAG